UACGGAGGAUGCAAGCGUUAUCCGGAAUGAUUGGGCGUAAAGCGUCCGCAGGUGGCUAUGUAAGUCUGCUGUUAAAGAGUCUAGCUCAACUAGAUACAAGCAGUGGAAACUACAUAGCUAGAGUACGUUCGGGGCAGAGGGAAUUCCUGGUGUAGCGGUGAAAUGCGUAGAGAUCAGGAAGAACACCGGUGGCGAAGGCGCUCUGCUAGGCCAUAACUGACACUGAGGGACGAAAGCUAGGGGAGCGAAUGGG
rnacentral:rRNA from 1 species